rnacentral:rRNA from 1 species
UACGUAGGGUGCAAGCGUUGUCCGGAAUUAUUGGGCGUAAAGAGCUCGUAGGCGGUUUGUUGCGUCGGCUGUGAAAUCCCGAGGCUCAACCUCGGGUCUGCAGUCGAUACGAGCAAACUAGAGUGUUGCAGGGGAGACUGGAAUUCCUGGGGUAGCGGUGAAAUGCGCAGAUAUCAGGAGGAACACCGGUGGCGAAGGCGGGUCUCUGGGCAACAACUGACGCUGAGGAGCGAAAGCGUGGGGAGCGAACAGG